CAUGCAAGUCGAACGGAAAGGCCCUUCGGGGUGCUCGAGUGGCGAACGGGUGAGUAACACGUGGGUGAUCUGCCCUGCACUUUGGGAUAAGCCUGGGAAACUGGGUCUAAUACCGGAUAGGACUACGCACUGCAUGGUGUGUGGUGGAAAGCGUUUGCGGUGUGGGAUGGGCCCGCGGCCUAUCAGUUUGUUGGUGGGGUGAUGGCCUACCAAGGCGACGACGGGUAGCCGGCCUGAGAGGGUGUCCGGCCACACUGGGACUGAGAUACGGCCCAGACUCCUACGGGAGGCAGCAGUGGGGAAUAUUGCACAAUGGGCGCAAGCCUGAUGCAGCGACGCCGCGUGAGGGAUGACGGCCUUCGGGUUGUAAACCUCUUUCAGUAGGGACGAAGCGGAAGUGACGGUACCUAGAGAAGAAGCACCGGCCAACUACGUGCCAGCAGCCGCGGUAAUACGUAGGGUGCGAGCGUUGUCCGGAAUUACUGGGCGUAAAGAGCUCGUAGGUGGUUUGUCGCGUUGUUCGUGAAAACUCACA
rnacentral:rRNA from 1 species